GGUUUGAGCUCCGUGAGCUCACCUACUAGUUAAGGUUACGCUGAUGUGGUCUCUCUAGACCAUCAGCUUAGGUAGGAAAAAAAAACAACUUUAGGAUCAUUGUACACUAAAUGAAAUUCCGUUCUGUACCUGGUUAACAUUACAGACUUGUUUGUGGUUACUAGAUCAACAAAACUAAAAGUUUCUGGUAUUGAGUGCCCGGUCUUAAACGUAUUGGAGAAACAACCCUCAGAGUUGUCGACGAUAAUUCCUGUGUUCAAAUUACGCCCUAAACGCGACUUAUUAAUGUAUUUCGUAAUUUUAUAAUGCUGACUCACAUCGAUGAUCUCUAGUAAACUCCAUUUACUAGAAAUACGAAAACACGUAAACAUAUUACAUUGGAACUCUUCCAAAUAUCACAUUUAGCGUCAACUUGUCUGCCAACCGUUUUGUUAAUUACGCAUUUGACAACUGGCUUUUGAUUGUUUAAUUUUUUAUUGUGUAACCCAGAAUAAAACCACCUAAUUAUUUUGGAUGGGUGUCUUUAAACUAAGGGAUUCAAUGGGAAAUUCAGGGUUCCAUUUUCUUUUUUUUUUCUCCUACCUGAGGCUGGUAGACUAGGGGUUAUGCCAGCGUAACCAGGCGAGUGGUGAGCUCACGGGGCUCUAACCAGAGGACGUUGUUAACACUAGCCCUAGCAAGAGCAGUGCUACGCAGAAUCUACCACUGGAUCGAAAACGCGACGCAGUAAGAAGAUCCGGCGAGAAACUCAGUGGGCUGUGUCCGUAGGAGAGUUCCACGAUUGUUAUACCAGCAUACCGUGUUUCGUUACUACUAUACUGCCUAUUUAUGCUGCUAAGAAGUCUUACAUUUCGGUUUGGGAAAGGAGAACCAAACGAUUAUGAAGGGUUAUUUUUUUAAGUCGAACAUCCUAGCUGGUUCUGAUGCAAGUUACUCUGAUGAAUUCACCAGAAUGUUGUCUACGAAUUCCGAUAGCCAAAACGCGGUUCCUGAUCUCUUCAUUCCCAAUAAUAAUGCGAAUAACAAGGCGUUUCUAAACCAUCACCAAAUCAGUGAAACUACAUACUACAUUAGUAACAAGUUGACGACAGCCGGGUGCGGUCGUGUCAACGCGUGCCGAUAAUUUAAUGAGCGAGGUCAGAAACGUAAAUAGACGUUUCCUUGGUCACGGCCGACUGGUCACCGAAGAAAACACUAGAAUUUUAUGCCGAUUUACACGGUAAAUGCAAGGCACGGUUGAUUAUGAACACCCAAAAAAACAAACAAAGGUCAUGAUGACUAACGGAACAACAAAGGCCAAUUGUGAACAAUAUCGAACUAAUAGAAUUUAUGAAUGAGUACACUCUAUCCUGACCUUAUAAUAUCACUUCAGGUAUAUGAUUGAUUUAAAAACAAAGUGAAUUAAAUCCACAAUACUACUAA